GUGGGAAGCUAAAAUCAACCCUUGGCUUGUUACGUGAGCUCAAACUAGUACCUAGUGAGUGUUUCAUGUACUGAACUUGGAUUUCCGGUGUUUUUGUAACAUCCAUGUAAGGUUUCGUUCGGUAUAUUAAAUCCAAUGAAAUUAUCAAAGUGGGCUGUACUAUGUUGGACAGAAUUUUAUGUUUGGACUUGGGUGAAUGUAACCAGACUUAUACUCUCAGAUUUUGUCAUAGUUGAUGGUGUGAGGACUUAUAA